rnacentral:tRNA from 1 species
GUCUCUGUAGCGCAAUGGAUUGCACAUUGGACUUUUAAUCCAAAGGCCGUAGGUUCGAAUCCUACCUGGAAUG